UGAAAAGCUUCAGAAAGUUUAUCAUCAACCUCUGAGACGAUUUCAAUGAGUUCGCUUCUUUUCUUCAACACAAAGGCUUGCAUAUCUUCAGGUACUUCACUUACUUCUACAUGCUUAUAAUAAGGUGUUUCAGAGCGAAAAAAGUAGGCCUUUAACUUGUUGACAAGAUCAAAAAGUCUAACAAACAUUUUAAGGCGAAAAUAGUAGGCCUUCAUCUUGACAAGAACAACAAAUCCAAAACACCAAUUGUCAAAGUAUAUUGGAACUUGAAUUGCAGCACAACGAUGAUUAAGCUUAGAUAUUACUUGAUCAAGAUUAGAUUUUACUUGAUCUACUAUUUCCCGUUCCCAAUUAAUGUCUUCGAUAAAUAUAAGCCUUGGAAAUUGAAAUCUUGUCAUUUGUUGAUCAUUUUCAACACCAUCAAAAAAGAGAAAGAACAAGAAUUGAACUGUCGAAAAUAUGUGAAGCUAUUUCAGCAUCAACAAUGGAAUCAACUUCGAUUAGGGUUAUGUUUUUAUUGUCUAUUUCGCAUACAACACGUGGGUCGACGUAGCGCAGUUGGCCUCGACUUUGUUUGGAUCGUAGUAUUUCCCAGUCCGCCCACAUCGUAAGGUCAGGGUCACCGUAUCUAGAAAGACAGACGUUGCGCAGAUGCUCCACUGAAUUGUUGGAGAAGUGACGGAGGUGGAGAGGGAAGGCUGAGAAAGAGAGGAGGCAGAGGAGAGAAGGCGUGGUAUGGAGGACCUUGAAAAGAAACGAUUCAUGGCGGCGGCAAGAAGGGGUUUGAUGGAAGGAAGCUGCAGAGUAGUAAGAAUGGUGAACGGAGCUUAAACCCUAAAAGUAACAUCCAUCAACGCCUUCAUCGCAAUUUCAACAAAAAAGAAGACAAACUACCAUUCAAUGCAACCGACCGAAUCGUUCUCCGAAUUCGCAAUUUAAAGGGGAAAUGAUUGAAUCAUUAGUUUUAUAGUGUCCCAAAAGAGGUAUAAUAACAUUUCAUUAUCAUGCCAAAUUAUAAGUACGAUGUGGUUGGUAUAUAAUUAAAAUUGGGUUAAUAGUGUUUUUCACCCUUGUAAUAUAGGCCAUUUCCGGUUUUCGCCCUUAUAAAAUUUUCGGUUUGAUUUCUGUCCUUGUAAAAUUUUUUUUUUCCCGGAAUACCCCCCUCCUCCCUCCAACUCAGCAAAUCAGCCUAUGUGGCGCUGACAUGGAAUUUAUUUAUUUUUUUUUUUUUUUUUCACCUGCCCCCGGGAAAAAAUUUUUUUUUUUUUUAAAUUGUGAAAUUUUAAUUUUAAAAAAAUCAAUUUUUGUUUCAAUCGUCCUAUUUUUUAAAAAAUUUGAAAAUUAAUUUUUCAAAAAUAAAAAAAAAAUAUUCAGAUUUUUUUCCGAAUAUUAAUUUCAAAAAUGAUUUUAUAAAAAAAAAUUCAAAUAUUAAAAAUAUGAUUUUUUAGAAUUUUUAAAAUUUUAGAAAAUGAUUUUUUUUUUAAAUUUUAAUUUCAAAAAUGAUUUUAUAAAAAUCUAGAAUAAAAUUUUCGAAAAUAAAAUCUGAAUUUUUAAAAAAAUCUGUAUCCAGAUUAUUAAAAAUAAAAUAUUUUCCAUAAAAAAAAAUAUGACUUUUUUUAAAAAAUUUCGAAUUUGUUUCUUCUAAUUUAAUUUUUUUUUAAUUUUGAAAAUUAAACUCCAGAAUCUUUAAAAAAAAUUAAUUUCGAAAAAAAACCGAAUAUUUUUUCUGAUUUUUUUAAUAUUCGAAUUUAAUAUAAAAUCGAAAAAUUCAAAAAAAAUCUUAUCGUUUUUUCUGAUUUUUUUAAUAUUUGAAUUUUUUCUUUUUCGAUUUUUAAAUUUUUUGGAAAAAAAUCUGAAUAUUUUUUUUUAUUUUUGAAAAUUAAUUUUCAAAUAUUUUAAAAAAUAAAAUCUGAUGUAGAUAAUUAAAAAAAAUUGAGUUUUUUAAAAUUAAAAUUUCACAAUUUUUUAAAAAAAAAAACGAAUUAUACACGUGGCAAGUGAAAAAAAAAAUCAAAAAUAAAAAAAAAUUCCAUGUCAGCGCCACAUAGGCUGAUUUGCUGAGUUGGAGGGAGGAGGGGGGUAUUCCGGAAAAAAAAAAAUUUGCAAGGACAGAAAUCAAACCGAAAAUUUUAUAAGGGCGAAAACCGAAAAUGGCCUAUAUUACAAGGGUGAAAAACACUAUUAACCCAUUAAAAUUUGAUUUCCAAUGUUAAAGUGGCAUGGGAAGAAUAACUUGACCACACGGUUGUGCCUCUAGUGAGGUAAAUUAUUGACAAGAGAAUAAGAACGAUGAUUGUGAAAAAGAGGAAUGAUAUAUCAACAUUAUUUGUGUUCAAUGUUAUAAAGAAAAAGAGGAAUGAUAUAUGAAUAUUAUUUGUGUACAACCAACAACUUCUUUGCUAUUUUUUAAUAUUUUUUUUAUUGAUUUUGAUUUGCGUGCUCCUUACAGUAUUAAAGGGUGUUGCAUUAGUUGUUCAAUUUUGGUUGUACAAAUAACAUAGCUCAAAGAAAAAAGGUUCUUUAUCCAAAGAUAAAUAAAAAUCGAACAGGUUUUAAACUAGUUGAACCAAUUACGGUGAAAACCUGGUUGAGAAACAUCUAAUUUAGUCUGAUUUUAAAAACAUUGGUCGUAAGUCUUUAGAUAUUUACUUAUACGUGGUGUAUUGAUAUGUUUACUUCAUGUGCAAGUUUUAUAAGCUUUAGAUAUUUACUUAUACGUAGUGUAUUGAUAUGUUUACUUCAUGUGCAAGUUAGCAUAGAUACUUGUCCAUUUAUAAGCUUUAGAUAUUUACUUAUACGUAGUGUAUUGAUAUGUUUACUUCAUGUGCAAGUUAGCAUAGAUACUUGUCCAUUUAUAAGCUUUUCAGAAAAGAACUACCGUGCUUAUGAAUAAAUGUGCACACAUUCUAAAAUUUGGGGAAGGAGGAGGAAAGAGAAAAAGAGCAACUUGCAUAAUCAGUAAUCCAAAUCACUAGAUAGAGAAUGAAAUUUGGCAUUUGCUCAAAACAUAGGCUCCUCAAACAUUUUGAUGGGAAAAAUUCGGGAGAUAGUUACUGCACUUGAGAUAUACAUAAUCUUAAAAUACUUUUUCUAGGAUAUCAUUCUAGAAUCUUAAAAUAUUUUGAUUAUGGAUAUCCUAGAAAUUCGGAAGAUAGUUACUGCACUUUGGAUAUCCUAAAAAAAAGAUAUUUUAAGAUCAUGAAUAUCCAUAAUCUUAAAAAGCCAGUAAGGAUAACCACCCUAAAAUUUGCUUGCUUUUUUUUCAGAAAGGUUAUCAAAUACCAACUCUCAACCAGCUUCGUUUCAAAAGCACUCUACAAGAGCUUCAUUUGAACUCUUAAUGAAAAACUAUUUUUGUACUAGUCUCUUUCAUCAAUCUUUCUCAUCCUUAUCCUCUUCGGAUGAUAAUCAAAAUUUGAUGUUAGAAACAAUCCGAUACUCUUAAGAUACUGAAGGGUAUUUGACCAAAUGGAUAGAUACAUACGGUUAAUCGAAUUCAUCAUUUGUGGUCUUUUGGCUAAUCUUAUGCAUCAAAAUGGACGGGGAGCUUUGAGCAUAAUAUAUAAAUCUUCAAUGAGAUUGGUGUUUAACCCUUGACCUUUGUAUGAGGAAGUCCCCUCUAAUCUAAAUUUUUGUUCAUAAAAAUUACAACCUGUGAUUUAAUUGCAGUCAACAUCUAGAAAGACUAGUAUAGUUACAAUUUAUUACACAAUUUUUGUAUCACCUUCUACAAAACUUCAUCACAUACAACCACUUUGGGCAUCAAUAAUAGAAGAAUCUACACCAAAUUGAAAGGAUUAGGAGAUUCAGUGUCUUUACAUGCUGCAUCAUUUACGCAACAUCAGCUGCAGUUGCAGCACUUGAUUUCUUUGUUCCGGAGGUAGGAGAUUUAUCUGCUCCGGUGUGAGACUCAUGACCUGCUGAAGCAAUGCCUUCUCCAUAUCUGGUGUCAACUGCAUGCAAGCAAGAAGUGAAUAUCAAUAGGCUGCAGGACAAUUUCAAGGGACUAUUGCUAAUUCACAAUAAUUACCGCAGGAGGCCGAGGAGGCUGAUUAGCAGCACCGAUCUGACCAGAAACCAUAGAUGAUGGUCCCUGAGGACCAGAAUGCUGUGCUAGAUUCUCCGAGGGACCAGGCAUCCAAGAAGACCCUCUUUCAAUUUGCAUUGCAUUUCCAGCUUGACUGCUGAAAUCAGACCCAAAUGGUAUAUUUCCAACCUGACACAAAAAGCAUGACUUAGCACCUAAAUAAUCAAUUACUAUCAAAACAAAGUGUUGCUACUCAUCAUGACAGAUGCUGCUUUUCAAGCCAUUUUACUUAGAUUUACUUGUUUACUUCUUACAGUUAAAAUUAAUGAAAUUGGAGGCCUAACUCAUCCUUAAAAACCGGUUCAUAAGGUGAGGAUUGUCUCCUCUAUAUAAACUCUUAUCAAGAGUCUUAUCUAUCCGAUGUGGGACAUGGGUUUUUCCCAAUACAAUGACUAGUGGAGUUAAAACUAAAUAGUCACAACUUUUCAAUAUCUCCACUAAGUACUUAUUAAAUAUUCUAACAAAAAUCACCAAAAUCAACUUGGACUGAGGUCAAAAUCCAGCAUGCUAGUUAAUUAAACAAAACUGACUAACUCAAUUGUGAAAUAGAAAUGCAGCAAUGACAAAUUUGUCAGGAAUAAUAGUGUAUAUUUUUCUCCUCCUUCCGUUGUUAAUUGGUUUCAACCUUCAGACUCAUCAAUACAAUAUGACAGCGGAAGAGCCCAUAAUCUUCACAUUGACAAAAACCCAUCAAUACCCCAUUUCUGAUCUAUGCAACUCAUCAUUUUCUUCUUAUCCUUGUGAUUUACCUUCUUUUUGUUUGACAGAAAUCACAUAGAAUUUCUGUUACCUGUGAUAGCUUUAUUUCUGAUGGCAGACUCUACCACCUGCAUAUUUCGCUGACAACUACGGCAAUUCACAACCCACUCCUUUGCAUCAUCACAACAAACCUUGGUCUCAAUUCUUUGGUCCAUUUUUUUUUCCACUGUCUACUUCACAGUUUAUGUUGUGAAAAAUAUAUUUCUCUGUUCACAUAUUUUUAAUUUCAGCUGUUUGUAGUCUUUAAUUUGGGGUAAUUCUGUAUUUUUGAAUAUAUUUAAAUAUAAGUUUAGUAUAAAUAAUUUAUCUUCAAUAUAUAUUUUUGACAUGGCAGACAUCCCAUUAUGGAUCCAUGUAGCCGACAUAAGGCUUGGUUGUUGUUUGUUGUUUGUUGCAGACAUCCAAUUAUCUGUCAUUCCACUAUAGCAUUUUUGGAAUGAGCCACCAGGAGCAGCAACUCAAGAUAAAAAAAUAUGGUUUCAACAUUUCACCGUGCAUCUAAAAGGUACUUUCCAUGUAAACCAAAGAUAAUUUUGUUUGUAUAAGCGCUACAAUAUAAGAUGCUCCUAACAAGUGUCGCAACUAUUGGGCAUUAACAGAUAGACAAAAGGAUUCUGCUGCAGAAAAGCUAGGAUUGAACAAGUCAUUGAAUUUAUGAAUCCAAAACUCAUGAUGGUAUAAAGCCAAUAAUAUAUUUUGAUGCCACAGAGCAUGACAAACACCCAUG
rnacentral:lncRNA from 1 species